UACAGAGGUCUCAAGCGUUGUUCGGAUUCAUUGGGCGUAAAGGGUGCGUAGGCGGCGGGGCAAGUCGGAUGUGAAAUCUCAGGGCUCAACCCUGAAACUGCAUUCGAUACUGCCUUGCUCGAGGACUGGAGAGGAGAUUGGAAUUCACGGUGUAGCAGUGAAAUGCGUAGAUAUCGUGAGGAAGACCAGUGGCGAAGGCGGACCUCUGGACAGUUCCUGACGCUGAGGCACGAAGGCCAGGGGAGCAAACGGG
rnacentral:rRNA from 1 species